rnacentral:snoRNA from 1 species
ACUGCACCUAGAGGUGUUGCAGGUGUAGCUGCUAUGUCACAUGGGCGUCAGUAGGUGGCAGAGAGGAGAGAGGCUAUGUUCUGACCUGCAUACAUCCGAAUGAUCAGCAGCCUAACACU